GCGAGAGUGGCGAAAUUGGUAUACGCACUAGACUUAGGAUCUAGCGUCUCCGACAUGUGGGUUCGAGUCCCACCUUUCGCACCA
rnacentral:tRNA from 1 species